UCUGGAGCGCUGCUCCUGCCCGGGUGGGCUGCUGGGAGGAGGGGACGGCCAGUGGGCUGACCAUAGCCCCCACCGACUCCCCGAUGGAGGACUUAGGCCCCAGCCGGCACCUGCCCAGAGUUUUGACCUUAAGCUCUAGCCCCGCCCCCCGCCCCUUUUAGGAAGAGGUCGGGCGGGGGCUGGGGGGCGGGCAACUUUGCCUUGUGAUUCUGGGGCUUCCCAAGGAGGCUUUCCCCAGCAUGAGGGGGGUGAUGGGGAAGCAUCUAGUUUGGUGGGGGUGGUAGGGACCCAGGAUUCAGUGGGAAACUGCUGGAGGAAGGACUGUACGCGGAGGGGAAGGCAGCCUAGAGUGUGGUUUUUGACAGGUGCCUGGGAGGCUCUUGAGAAGAGCAUUGGAGCAGCCAGGGGUGCUGGAGGCCGGAGUGGGAAGGAAAGGAAGGAGCGGGGGAGGGCUGAUCUGGGAGACUGGUUCUCCAGGAAUCUCACAGCAACUUGGAAGCUGUUAGGAUGUAGAUGGAGGUGAGAGGCCUCCCGCAAAGCCCUGCCCAUCGCCUCGUUCUCCCUUUCUUCCUCCGGGGUCCGGAGUUCCUCAGCUCUGCACCAGUGCGUCCUGACCUUGGUGGGCACUAAGGCGGCUGUAGCACAGGAUAUUUAUUUAUUUAUUUAUUUAUUUUAUUUAUUAUUUUGCUGAGGCAGGUGGAGUGUGAGAUGACUGGUAUGGCAUGGCUCUUAGCUUCCAGACUUUCACCCGGUUUUGAUUGCUUGGCAUUUCUUUGCACACACACAUACACACACCCUCCGCAUGUAUGUCCUGAGAGGAGGCGAGAACCACCCUCUGAGAUUGCUUUGUUGUCCUUCGCUGUCUUGGUCUGUGGUCUUAGUGUCUUAGGAAUGUGGAAUUUUCACCUGGUCAGUGUGACCUUUGGGUGUUAGGUGCCUGCAGAGCAAUAGAGAUGAAUUUUUUGGACCCUUCGUCUUAUGGAGUUGGGAUGGAGGUCCCGGAAAGUCCAAGACGGGGUGUGUAGCAAGGGUUUUAAAAAAAGGAGCAGAAAGAAAAUUAGAGCAGAGAUUCCCAGUAGUUUCUGUGAGCACUUUGAGUUAAUUCAUUUAACAUUUACUGGGUGCUUACUCUAUUCUCAGUACCAUGUGGGAUGUCUCAAUGUAAUAUGGAAGAUAAUUUUUUUUUUUUUUAAAUAAGCCCUAUGCCCAGUGUGAGGCUUGAACUCAUGACCUCAAGAUCAAGAGUCAUAUGCUUUACCUACUGGACCAGCCAGGUACCCUUGGAAAAGAAAUUUAAAAAAUUUUUUUAAUGCUAGAGAAAACAUCCCUUGGGCAAGCUGCUUUAACUCUAAGCCUCAGGUUCCCACUUUGUAAGAUUAAUGGUUUUCUUGGAAGGGAAGGAGUAAUAGUCAAACUCUAAAAAUUGAAAGGGGCAUAGAUGAUCAGGGCCCAGCUCUUAUUUUAAAAGGUAAGAGAAAAGUUGAGGCCCAGAGGUGUGAUUUGCUUGAAUAUGUUGAUCUUUCCACCACUUGCCAUAAUACACCAUUUUCCUUACCAGCUCUGAUGUUCUAACCUUGUCCAGACUCACUUUCCUUCCUCUUCAUUCCCCCUCAGGGUCAUCUGUCCCCAGGGACGCUGUUACAGUGUUGGUGCACUAGGCAGCCCCUUGUUCUCAUCUAGAACAUACACGGGUUCAGUCUUGUUUCCUCCCCAGUUUUGGUUCCUGAAUGUUACUGAGGCCAGUGUGCUGUCAGCAGUGGGAUGUUGGAGGACUGAGACAGCCCUGCACCCAGCAGUGUUCCCUCACCCUAGUCGUGAAUUUAGGGACUUCUCUGAGGCUCUGAGAGGAUAAUACAGCUAGAGAAAGUUUCUCAAUUGUUUACCCUUGGAAGAGGGCAAGUGUAAAACUGACUUGGCUACAGCAUUAUUUUUCAAAUUUUAGUAUCAUGUGAACCACCAUCAUGAUUUUAUACUAUAUCGACCUGUACUGUUGCUUAUUUAAUAUUUGACUUUAAAUCAACUGAAUUUGAAAAUUUGAAAAUUUUCAACUCUCACAAAUGGGAAACCAGUAACAUCUAUUGUCAUAAAUAGAAGAGAUCCUCAAAAAUACAGUGGAGCAGAAAAAAAAAAAACAAUCCAGUGCCAUUAUAUUGUAGCUCUCUACUGUAGCC